AGAGUUUGAUCAUGGCUCAGAUUGAACGCUGGCGGCAGGCCUAACACAUGCAAGUCGAACGGUAACAGGAAGCAGCUUGCUGCUUUGCUGACGAGUGGCGGACGGGUGAGUAAUGUCUGGGAAACUGCCUGAUGGAGGGGGAUAACUACUGGAAACGGUAGCUAAUACCGCAUAAUGUCGCAAGACCAAAGAGGGGGACCUUCGGGCCUCUUGCCAUCGGAUGUGCCCAGAUGGGAUUAGCUAGUAGGUGGGGUAAAGGCUCACCUAGGCGACGAUCCCUAGCUGGUCUGAGAGGAUGACCAGCCACACUGGAACUGAGACACGGUCCAGACUCCUACGGGAGGCAGCAGUGGGGAAUAUUGCACAAUGGGCGCAAGCCUGAUGCAGCCAUGCCGCGUGUAUGAAGAAGGUCUUCGGGUUGUAAAGUACUUUCAGCGGGGAGGAAGGGAGUAAAGUUAAUACCUUUGCUCAUUGACGUUACCCGCAGAAGAAGCACCGGCUAACUCCGUGCCAGCAGCCGCGGUAAUACGGAGGGUGCAAGCGUUAAUCGGAAUUACUGGGCGUAAAGCGCACGCAGGCGGUUUGUUAAGUCAGAUGUGAAAUCCCCGGGCUCAACCUGGGAACUGCAUCUGAUACUGGCAAGCUUGAGUCUCGUAGAGGGGGGUAGAAUUCCAGGUGUAGCGGUGAAAUGCGUAGAGAUCUGGAGGAAUACCGGUGGCGAAGGCGGCCCCCUGGACGAAGACUGACGCUCAGGUGCGAAAGCGUGGGGAGCAAACAGGAUUAGAUACCCUGGUAGUCCACGCCGUAAACGAUGUCGACUUGGAGGUUGUGCCCUUGAGGCGUGGCUUCCGGAGCUAACGCGUUAAGUCGACCGCCUGGGGAGUACGGCCGCAAGGUUAAAACUCAAAUGAAUUGACGGGGGCCCGCACAAGCGGUGGAGCAUGUGGUUUAAUUCGAUGCAACGCGAAGAACCUUACCUGGUCUUGACAUCCACGGAAGUUUUCAGAGAUGAGAAUGUGCCUUCGGGAACCGUGAGACAGGUGCUGCAUGGCUGUCGUCAGCUCGUGUUGUGAAAUGUUGGGUUAAGUCCCGCAACGAGCGCAACCCUUAUCCUUUGUUGCCAGCGGUCCGGCCGGGAACUCAAAGGAGACUGCCAGUGAUAAACUGGAGGAAGGUGGGGAUGACGUCAAGUCAUCAUGGCCCUUACGACCAGGGCUACACACGUGCUACAAUGGCGCAUACAAAGAGAAGCGAUCUCGCGAGAGCAAGCGGACCUCAUAAAGUGCGUCGUAGUCCGGAUUGGAGUCUGCAACUCGACUCCAUGAAGUCGGAAUCGCUAGUAAUCGUGGAUCAGAAUGCCACGGUGAAUACGUUCCCGGGCCUUGUACACACCGCCCGUCACACCAUGGGAGUGGGUUGCAAAAGAAGUAGGUAGCUUAACCUUCGGGAGGGCGCUUACCACUUUGUGAUUCAUGACUGGGGUGAAGUCGUAACAAGGUAACCGUAGGGGAACCUGCGGUUGGAUCACCU
rnacentral:rRNA from 1 species